rnacentral:rRNA from 1 species
GUCUAUGGCCAUACCACCCCUGAAUGCACCUGAUCUCGUCUGAUCUAGGAAGCUAAGCAGGGUGGGGCCUGGUUAGUACUAGGAUGGGAGGGAUUACAAUGGAUGUGCAGCUUGACAAACU